rnacentral:tRNA from 1 species
UGGGGUAUAGCUCAGUGGUAGAGCACAUGUCUUUGCAUGUGAGAGAUCUUGGGUUCAAUCCCCAGUACUACAA